GUCAGACGAAGGGCAUGACGGAUGGCAUCAGCGGAAAGGUGAGCGCCGGUGGAGAUAAGCGAGAAAAGGAGUAGCGCGAGGCGGUAGGCAGCCUUGAAGAGGAUGAGUGGGCCCGCUGCUGGGGGAUGGUCCUAGGGAUUUUUGAAUCAACGAGAGCAGUGUCGGCCCAGGCUAUCUAGAAUGAUUGCAUGUAUUAAUGAAGUAGUCCACGUUAGGUGGAUUGGCUCAAAAUGGAGAAGCAUGAUUGUAUUAAGCAUUUAAGCUCUAAGCAAUUUAGAAUGUCAAUGUCUUGGGGCUCCCUUGCAAUAUUUCAGAGAACUAUAUUUUUCCAGACAUUUUAUAUUGCCUCACGAUGUUUGGGGGAUCUGAUUAGGUAUUGUUUCUCUAUAUAUCUAUCCAUCUCUCUAUUUUAGUUGCUAAUAGAAUAAUGAACAAUUGAUAGGACUAAUCUUAUAGACUUGUUUUCUCCU